AAAUUGUUGUUGCAUGGCUUUGAGCAUGAUUGAUUGGUCUAUAGCUUCUUGAUCUUUUGACAUAUUUGUGAUCUGAAAAAAAAAUUGUUAGCAAAAAGACCUCACAACACUCCCUCACGUAUUUCACUCAAUUUUGAUGUCACUUAACUCUCGUGUUUAACACACAAAUUGCCUUUUACCACACUUAAUUCUCUCUUUCAGUUCUUUAUUGAACUAAAUAAACAAAAUCAAGAAAAAAAAAAACCCAAGUGGCACACCAAAUAUGACAAUCCAGCACACUAACAAAGAAAAGAAAUUAAGAGGACACAAAGAAUGAAAAGGAAAUUGAAGAAAGGAAAGCAAGCAAGCAAAGCAACACAAUUGAUAUGUGUAAACUAUGAAAGUAGAAAUACUUGACUCUUUUUUUGUAAUCUUUUUUUUUGCACGUUUUUUUUCUUUUUUCUUUUUGAUAAUCAAAAUAAAUAAGACAUUCAAACCUGAUUAGAAACUAGCUCUGAUACCAAAUGAUACGAAUCCCACAAUGAAACUUUCAAUCCUACAAUUAAUUUGUAGUUUCAACUUCCCAAGAAAGUUCUAAACAGAUUUAUGGCAAACAAAAACCUUGACCCAAUGCUUAAGAAAACAUGAACCAAAGGUAUAGAGAAGGGUAUUGACGCCACACUCAAGAAAAAGAUGAGAAGGUGAGUGAUAAGUCUAAAUUUGGAACACCACAAGAAUGUAAAUUCUUGAUAAGUUCACUAGUUCUCAAAAGAACCAAAGAAAGAAUAAUCUUUCAAAUUCAAA
rnacentral:lncRNA from 1 species